rnacentral:rRNA from 1 species
UACGUAGGUGGCAAGCGUUGUCCGGAAUUAUUGGGCGUAAAGCGCGCGCAGGCGGUUUCUUAAGUCUGAUGUGAAAGCCCACGGCUCAACCGUGGAGGGUCAUUGGAAACUGGGGAACUUGAGUGCAGGAGAGAAGAGUGGAAUUCCACGUGUAGCGGUGAAAUGCGUAGAGAUGUGGAGGAACACCAGUGGCGAAGGCGACUCUUUGGCCUGUAACUGACACUGAGGCGCGAAAGCGUGGGGAGCAAACAGG